ensembl:snRNA U5 U5 spliceosomal RNA
UACUCUGGUUUCUUUUCAGAUCACAUAAAUCUUUCGCCUUUUACUACAGGUUUCCAUGGAGAGGAAAAAAGAAAGAAAGAAAGAAAG